rnacentral:rRNA from 1 species
GACGAACGCUGGCGGCGUGCUUAACACAUGCAAGUCGAACGAAGAGCGAUGGAAGCUUGCUUCUAUCAAUCUUAGUGGCGAACGGGUGAGUAACGCGUAAUCAACCUGCCCUUCAGAGGGGGACAACAGUUGGAAACGACUGCUAAUACCGCAUACGAUCUAAUCUCGGCAUCGAGGAUAGAUGAAAGGUGGCCCUACAUGUAAGCUAUCACUGAAGGAGGGGAUUGCGUCUGAUUAGCUAGUUGGAGGGGUAACGGCCCACCAAGGCGAUGAUCAGUAGCCGGUCUGAGAGGAUGAACGGCCACAUUGGGACUGAGACACGGCCCAGACUCCUACGGGAGGCAGCAGUGGGGAAUCUUCCGCAAUGGACGAAAGUCUGACGGAGCAACGCCGCGUGAGUCUAUGACGGCCUUCGGGUUGUAAAGCUCUGUUAAUCGGGACGAGAGGCCUUCUUGCGAAUAGUGAGAAGGA